GGGGGGGGUAAUUGUGUCGGGAUUGUCCAUCAGCGUGUUGUAAUUAGCACAUUAAUGAGCGCCUAAUGGCUUCUCUUUAAAUAAUGAGGCCGUCAGCAGCGGAACAAUGUACCUCUGCAGGAAGAAUGCAGGAGCUUAUCGGAGCUUAAUUGAAUGCGCGCAGGCGACAAGAUCCCCCCCCCCCCGUUCCCCUCCACCCCCCCCGUCGAUAUGUUGCGCGGUGCGGCAGCUCCUCUCCACCCUCCCGGGAAGAACCGCAGUGUCUUAAACUCACAAGAGUCACAAUGAGACUUUUUGUCUUCGAGAUGGAUUGUACAUUUUAAUCAAUGCCUUAAUACUGUCUCAUACGGGUCGCAUUUGCGCGUAAAGUGUAUUUAUAUAAUUAUUGGUGCACAUAUAUUGUACAUUUUGUAAAUGAAAAUUGACGAGAUUGUAAAUAUGUAUAAUUUCCACAUUGAUAGAACGUUUAUUUUGAGAAUAAAACCAACUUUUAUUGAAAUGUUGUCCUUGUGCGUCCCGGUCAUUCACACUUUGUGGUGAGUUCGGAGAGGGUUGUUAAGCAAACGUCGCCUCGGGGGCCACAGGGGAUGUGACAGCUUUACCAAACCUCCCCGGAGAGGCCGCUUCACGCGCUCAGAGACCCGCGGUGAACGUCGGCAUGGCAACGAGCUCCCCUACAGGGGGUCUGCGCGGUUUAUGCCCCCUGCCCUGAUCCGGGCUUAAUGUGUCACGUUUAACUACAUUUCAAGUUUUUUUUUUCCUUUGUGGAAAAACAGGUGGAUCAGAACUAGUUGGAGAAAUAAGAAGUAAUUGUGACAGUUUUAUGAUUUUGAUUCCAUCGUUUAAACGCAAACGCUUGUUUGUGGGGUGACGGUUGAAGUGGGCUCACGUGGUUCGCCUCAGGCUCACGGUGGAUCCGUCCGUGGCUGUGGGUGAUUACAAUCAGUGGUCCACUCACGGUGUGACAGGGGGGGGCUACGUUUAGUUUCAGGGGGAAAUAAGACGUUUGUGCGUAAUGGGCACCAGCAGGCAGGGGGGAUGCGCGGGAGUCAAUGUGCUCCAAACUGCAGAGCACUUUCUGCAACCCACCCGCACCCAUUGCUAAAAGGUGGAGAGAGAUGGAGUAAGCUGCAUCAGGCCGCCACCUUGUGGUCAAAGGACAGC
ensembl:lncRNA